rnacentral:rRNA from 1 species
UACGGGGGGAGCAAGCGUUGUUCGGAUUUACUGGGCGUAAAGGGCGCGUAGGCGGCCACUGCAAGUCAGUUGUGAAAUCUCCGGGCUUAACCCGGAAAGGUCAACUGAUACUGCAGGGCUAGAGUUCGGUAGGGGAGACUGGAAUUCCUGGUGUAGCGGUGAAAUGCGCAGAUAUCAGGAGGAACACCGAUGGCGAAGGCAGCUCGCUGGGACGGUACUGACGCUGAGGCGCGAAAGCGUGGGGAGCAAACAGG